GCUCUUGUAGCUCAAUUGGUAGAGCAGAUCCCUUUUAAGGAUAAGGUUCUGGGUUCGAUUCCCAGCGAGAGCA
rnacentral:tRNA from 6 species